ACAGGCCUUCGGGGCCCAGGGGCUUCAGCCCCUUUAAGCCCCAACAUUACUCCGGCCCUGAUUUGUGGUGAGUACAUGCGGGCGCCAUCUUUAUGCAUCUGAGCCAAUGGCUGCACGUCAAGACUCAACUGUCCGAGCGUCCAUCUCUUCUUUCGCGACGUAGGCUGUUGAGAGUGACAUGGAUCCGCUGCAAAGACUUCUAAUCCAAACUUUUGACCUGAGAAGAAGCUUACUUCAUUUUAUGUCUUGAGUAAAACUGUUCGUUCGGACCAUGAGUGAGGUGGAUGUGGAUCUCCCCCCUCCUCCCUCCCCACUCCCCCCUUCCACCCCCCUCAUCCCACAGGGGUCUCCCUCUACCCUGGACACUGCCUCACCUCCCUCCCCUAACCCCAUCCCCCCUGCCUCCCAACCUUCCCUCACCCCGACUCCCUCAGACUCCCCCAAAUUCAUCCCAUUGUCAGUCUCUUGUCCUCCUCCUCCCACUUCCUCUCCUUCUCCUCUCUCCAUCACCCCAAAAUUGUCCGUUCAUUCACCCACUGCCACCACCUCCACCCCAUCUCCCUCUACGUCUACCCCAUCCACCUCUCCUGCCCCCCGCCGUUGGGGCUUUGCGGCCCCCUCCACC